GACGUAGGGGGCGAGCGUUGUCCGGAAUUACUGGGCGUAAAGAGCACGUAGGCGGAUAAUUAAGUCAGAUGUGAAAGACCGGGGCCCAACCUCGGGGUUGCAUCUGAAACUGGAUAUCUUGAGGGCAGGAGAGGAAAGUGGAAUUCCUGGUGUAGCGGUGAAAUGCGUAGAAAUCAGGAGGAAUACCAGUGGCGAAGGCGACUUUCUGGACUGACCCUGACGCUGAGGUGCGAAAGCGUGGGUAGCAAACAGGAUUAGAUACCCUGGUAGUCCACGCUGUAAACGAUGGAUACUAGGUGUGGGAGGUAUCGACCCCUUCCGUGCCGGAGCUAACGCAAUAAGUAUCCCGCCUGGGGAGUACGGUCGCAAGGCUGAA
rnacentral:rRNA from 1 species